UGAGUCUUAUUUGUUCUUGUUUAUUUUAAACCAUGAAACAAAUGUUUUAAAAAGCCUUAUUCACUGUCAGUGAGUGAUAAGUAUCAAACCAUUGACUUCAUUUAAUAGCUGUGUUGAAUCAUUCUGAUUCUCUAUCAGAACUGGGAUAAAUAAGAUUUAAAAAAAUCUUACAUUUGCUUUGUAUUUUCUUCCUAACAUCUAAAGGAAACCAGUAAAGUGGAAUCUUAAAGACUGUCAUUACAAAGCUGGUGUUCAAAGAGGAGAAUGGCUGGUUCUGGAGGACUUCUCUUCUAGAACAAGAACAAUGAUUUCUUUCCUUUGCUUGAGAAGAUGCUUUCUUUCCUUGAUGACAGCCUGAAGCUACAUAGCUGUAAGAAAGAACUGUUUGUGAUUUGAUGGUAUUUUCUGAUGUUACCAUGAGAUGUCCUAUGCUAUGGCUACAUGAAGACAUAAAUCAAUGCAGUAAUUGAAGAUCAAUUACUAAAGAAGUUGGUGCUGAGGCUUCUGCAUCUACACAUGUUCUUUGAAGAUUUUUCUUCAGAAUAAAUUGAGUCUGGUGUCCUGAACUAAAUGUCUACAUCCCAGACAUGGUGUGUAGCUGUCCCAAGCUACAAAUUUUUAUGGCUAACACUUGAAAUUCCAGUUCAGUCCUCUCUGGAUAAAAUUUUUCAAAUAAAGUGAUUCUGCUGGGAAAUAAAAAGACUGAAAUAUUUU